ensembl:miRNA mir17a-1 microRNA 17
CAAAGUGCUUACAGUGCAGGUAGUGUUAUUGAUGAUCUACUGCAGUGGAGGCACUUCUAGC